rnacentral:lncRNA from 1 species
CUUUAUAUUUAUAUAAUAAAAAGGCAAGACAAAUAUGCCUUCUUAUUUUUGGCCUUAUUUAUUAUGUACCUUCCAUUUGAUUCUUAUUUUUUUUUUUUUUUUUAAUUCACUGUUUCAAAUAAACAUUUAAUAAUUACGCUUUUUUUUAGUAACGAAUUCGUAACAUUUUUUUUUAGUAACGAAUUCGUAGCACUUUUUUUAGUAACGAAUUAAUAGCACUUUUUUUUAGUAACGAAUUAAUAGCACUUUUUUUUUUUUUUAUAUGGUAAUUCGAAAUUUGUCAAUUAAAAAAGUGGGAAGGUACGGGAGUGCGGAACUAAAAAAAAAAAAAAAAGAGGAAUUUAAAAAAUAAAAAAUAUGUUACAAGUGUAGCAAAAGUUGUAAUAAAGAUGUAAAAAUAAACUUGCAAAGAAAAUAUGAACAAUAUUGCACUGGAAACACCAUUAUUUUCUCCUAAUAUAACGGAUGUGGAUUUUGACGUUUUCAAUUUAUGGCUAAAAGGACACAAUGGG